GGGGCGGCGGGGCCGGGGGCCUGCGGCGGACGGGGGAGGGGCGGCGGACGGGGGACGGGCCCCGGGGAGUCCGCGGGUGGCAGGCGGGCGACUAGCGCGGCAGCCGGAGGGCAUCCCCGCCCCGCCCGGGACCCCGGGAAGCAAGAGUAAUUUCAAGGCAGGCCCAGCAGUGACGACUUGGAAACCCAUCUUAAGAUGUCUCAGGUGUCAGUUUUCCCCUCCUCCUCUUAUUCAAGCUCACACCCUUUAUGCCCUCUCCUACCAGCAUCUUAGUGAACAAGACAGAAUUUGCUGAAGGGGAGACGUGAUUUAUGUCACGUGGGCUGUAGCAGCUGGAACCCCGCUACGGCACACCUCUUUCUCCAGAGUACACACUCUCCGCUUCUGCCACAGGGAUCUCUUCCCAUCCCUACCCCAUCCUACCUCCCAGCCUCCAGCUUUCCUGCUCUUCACCUUCCCCCCCCACCAGCCCUAUGUAGACUCCUCAAUCCUUCAUUAUUCAGAGGAAUGCAUUUCAUCCUAGUUUCUACAUCCAAACCUGUGCCCAAUGAAUGACCUUGUUCAGCAAAACAGCAAGUUCUUCCAGUUACAGGACCUUCCCUCUUCAGGAAAUAGAAGGCGAUUAUAAAUAGUAUUCUUCUUUUGUAAACCUAAUUAACACAAAACGACUAAAUGGGGUUUUUUCAUGAAGUCUUCAUGUGGAGCUUGUUGGAGCCAGCUUUUGAAGAGUACAGCGGACACAGGUCUGCAAGGCAGGGUACAAAGAAGACGUCCAGGAGGGGAUUGCCGGCUGCUGUCCUGCUCUGGAUGAACUAGGGUCCCAGAACCGGGAAACAGGCUAUGCUCAAUAACAAAAAGACCCCAGAAGACAGUGACUUGACAAGUAAUUUCUCUGUCACUCAGUAGUCCAGUAAGGAGGAUGUCCGGGAUGGGGAAGUAGCUCUGCUUCACUGG